rnacentral:rRNA from 1 species
AGUAAAUAGAUACCCGGGUAGUCCUAGCCGUAAACGAUACUCGCUAGGUGUCGGCCACGGUGCGACCGUUGUCGGUGCCGUAAGGGAAAGCCGUGAAGCGAGCCACCUGGGAAGUACGGCCGCGAGGCUAGAAACUUAAAGGAAUUGGCGGGGGAGCACCACAACGGGUGGAGCUUGCGGUUUAAUUGGACUCAACGCCGGAAAUCUUACCGGGACCGACAGCAACAUGAAGGCCAGGCUGAAGACUUUGCCGGAUUAGCUGAGAGGUGGUGCAUGGCCGUCGUCAGUUCGUACUGUGAAAGCAUCCUGUUAAGUCAGGCAACGAGCGAGACCCACGCCCACAGUUGCCAGCGUACUCUCCGGAGUGACGGGUACACUGUGGGGACCGCCGCUGCUAAAGCGGAGGAAGGAAUGGGCAACGGUAGGUCAGUAUGCCCCGAAUAUCCCGGGCUACACGCGAGCUACAAUGGUUGGUACAAUGGGUAUCUACCCCGAAAGGGGAUGGAAAUCUCCUAAAGCCAAUCUUAGUUCGGAUUGA